UUUAUCUGGUAAAGCGAAUGAUUAGAGGUCUUGGGGCCGAAACGAUCUCAACCUAUUCUCAAACUUUAAAUGGGUAAGAAGCCCGGCUCGCUGGCUUGGAGCCGGGCGUGGAAUGCGAGCCGCCUAGUGGGCCACUUUUGGUAAGCAGAACUGGCGCUGCGGGAUGAACCGAACGCCGGGUUAAGGCGCCCGAUGCCGACGCUCAUCAGACCCCAGAAAAGGUGUUGGUCGAUAUAG
rnacentral:rRNA from 1 species